CUCUCCAUCCCGCUGAGUGCUGCUUAUCGUGGUAGAAGAAGAGAGACAACGAUGAGAAGCUGAUGAUGCUGAUGAAGCUGUUAUAUUACUUUGUGUCAUGAAUCUGAUGUUUGUGGUUCAGUGUGCGUCCAGAGAAACAGACUGAGCCGGUCUGACCCCCGGUCUGACCCCCGUCCUCCUCCUGUCAGGGUGGAGCCUGCUGCUGCUGCUGGACCACCCACCACCACCACCACCACCACGGACCACACCAGCUCUGAGCAGGAGGAGGAGGUGGAACUGUGUGUUUUUAUUUCAUUCACACGCACAACAAACUGUCUGACGACAACAGGAAGAUGACACGUGUUGGCGACUGCUGGUUUGGAGGGAACCAUCAUUCCUGGAGUCUGGACUGUUCUGGUGACGGUCGGUACCGGCUCCUUCACAAUACAAGAGGAACAUCUUCCUCCUAGUUAUGUUAUCUGAAUGUCACUGACGGUUUUCUUUGUUGUCACUUAAAUGUGAUAGUAUGCAUAUUAUCUCUGUAUAUGAUGUUCAUGCUAAUAACAUUAUUAUUUGGAUUGUGUGCUAUGGUGAAACAUACGUUUAUGGCUGUUUAUGGAUUUAUAUUAUUCUUUGGUUUGUUCCAGAACCACACACACCCACCACAUCUCUAAGUUCACUCUCUAGACUGGAUUAAAGCACUGUAAAGGAAACUGACAGCUUCCUGCCUCUUCAUUUAAGUCUUGACACGCGCUUCACGAUUAAAAUACAGAGAAAGUCA